rnacentral:lncRNA from 1 species
CACCAGUUUGACCACUAUUAGUAUAUAAAAUGACUUAUUUCACUUCUGAAUCCCAAACAAUUCGAUUAGGGGUUAGUACACAAAGAUUUAAAGUUAUUUCUUCAAAUUGCUCUUCAAAGAUUUAAAAGGCCUAAUCAGGAAGACCAUCUAAUUCUCCAGAAAAAGAUCAAUUGAAACCCUCUAAUGUUUUUUGCUAGACCAACAUAUUUCCCUAGAGAAUCGGUAAAUACUUCUGCUACCAAAAAGGGUUGUUAUAAGAAAUGCUCAAUUUUUUGUGCUUAUGCUACGAUUAAAC